rnacentral:rRNA from 1 species
UACGUAGGGUGCAAGCGUUGUCCGGAAUUACUGGGCGUAAAGAGCUCGUAGGCGGUGUGUCGCGUCGGCCGUGAAAACCUGCAGCUUAACUGUGGGCUUGCGGUCGAUACGGGCAUCACUGGAGUUCGGCAGGGGAGACUGGAAUUCCUGGUGUAGCGGUGAAAUGCGCAGAUAUCAGGAGGAACACCGGCGGCGAAGGCGGGUCUCUGGGCCGAUACUGACGCUGAGGAGCGAAAGCGUGGGGAGCGAACAGG